GAUGAACGCUGGCGGCGUGCUUAACACAUGCAAGUCGAACGAAGCACUUUAUUUGAUUUCCUUCGGGACUGAUUAUUUUGUGACUGAUUGGCGGACGGGUGAGUAACGCGUGGGUAACCUGCCUUGUACAGGGGGAUAACAGUUGGAAACGGCUGCUAAUACCGCAUAAGCGCACAGCAUCGCAUGAUGCAGUGUGAAAAACUCCGGUGGUAUAAGAUGGACCCGCGUUGGAUUAGCUAGUUGGUGAGGUAACGGCCCACCAAGGCGACGAUCCAUAGCCGACCAGGGAGGAUGACCGGCCACAUUGGGACUGCGGCACGGCCAGAACUCCGACGGGAGGCAGCAGUAGGGACUAUUGCCCAAUGGACGACAGCCGGAUGCAGCGACGCCGCGUGAGCGAAGAAGUAUUUCGGUAUGUAGAGCUCUCUCAGAAGGGAAGAUAAUGACGGUACCUGACUAAGAAGCACCGGCUAAAUACGUG
rnacentral:rRNA from 1 species